UGCGGCUUAAUUCGACGCAACGCGAAGAACCUUACCAAGGCUUGACAUAUACAGGAAUAUGGCAGAGAUGUCAUAGCCGCAAGGUCUGUAUACAGGUGGUGCAUGGUUGUCGUCAGCUCGUGUCGUGAGAUGUUGGGUUAAGUCCCGCAACGAGCGCAACCCUCGUUCUGUGUUGCCAGCAUUUAGUUGGGGACUCACAGGAGACUGCCGGGGUUAACUCGGAGGAAGGUGGGGAUGACGUCAAAUCAUCAUGCCCCUUAUGUCUUGGGCUGCACGCAUGCUACAAUGGCUGGUACAAACGGCUGCAAUACCGCAAGGUGGAGCGAAUCCGAGAAAGCCAGUCUCAGUUCGGAUUGGGGUCUGCAACUCGACCCCAUGAAGUCGGAGUUGCUAGUAAUCGUAGAUCAGCAACGCUACGGUGAAUACGUUCCCGGGGCUUGUACACACCGCCCGUCACGUCACGAAAGUCGGUAACACCCGAAGUCAGUGGCCCAA
rnacentral:rRNA from 1 species